UACGUAGGGGGCAAGCGUUAUCCGGAAUUAUUGGGCGUAAAGAGUGCGUAGGUGGUUACUUAAGCGCGGGGUUUAAGGCAAUGGCUCAACCAUUGUUCGCCCUGCGAACUGGGUUACUUGAGUGCAGGAGAGGAAAGCGGAAUUCCUAGUGUAGCGGUGAAAUGCGUAGAUAUUAGGAGGAACACCAGUGGCGAAGGCGGCUUUCUGGACUGUUACUGACACUGAGGCACGAAAGUGUGGGGAGCAAUCAGG
rnacentral:rRNA from 1 species